UACGGGGGGAGCAAGCGUUGUUCGGAUUUACUGGGCGUAAGGGGCGCGUAGGCGGUCAGCACAAGUCAGUUGUGAAAUCUCCGGGCUUAACUCGGAAAGGUCAACUGAUACUGUGCGACUAGAGUGCAGAAGGGGCAACUGGAAUUCUCGGUGUAGCGGUGAAAUGCGUAGAUAUCGAGAGGAACACCUGCGGCGAAGGCGGGUUGCUGGGCUGACACUGACGCUGAUGCGCGAAAGCCAGGGGAGCGAACGGG
rnacentral:rRNA from 1 species